UGCGCUGCCCGCCCUGCCCCUCACCUGCCCCGCACUCGCCCGCAGGCCUCCGGCCGCCAGCCCCUUCCCCACGGAGAAACAAAAGAGCCCUGCUGAGGAGGUGGACAGGCAGCUUUCGACAGGUUCUGAACGGGAUUUUCCUCCUCGCACCCCCUUCUUUUUCUUUUCUCUGCCCCCCGAAACGCGCGGCUCCUUUGGAGGCGGGGGGCGGCCUGGGCAGCGGCCCCUGCCCAGGGGACUCAGCAGAGCGUGGCCACCCGCGCACAAGGAGCGAAGGCUCAGCUCUCUUUAACGAUUCCCGGGAUCAGGGAGCUCCAAAACCGGCGGGACAAGGGGCCCAGCUCCCGGUCGGGGCCCGCAUCCGGGUGGCAUCGCAUCGGCACCGCACCGGUACCGCCCGGCCGCGGGGGGCACCGGCACCAGGGAGAUGCUCCGUGCAGAGCUCUCGGUCCCCACCAGCCAAUUCUGAGGUUCUCCUUUCUUUAAACAAAGUACCGAUAUUUUCCGCUUCCGUGCAAGCGCUUAUGUUCGUUUGUAAGUCAAAAGCCUUACGAUUUUUAAUUUAUUUUAAUUUUUUCCGAGGUGAGCGGCCAACACAGCCAACAACGGCAACGGGAAAUGCCGGUCCUGUGCUGUGGCACAGACAAGUGGAGAGUGGCAGUGGGAGCGAUGGCAUUUGCGGGAGGUGUGUGGGAAAGCACGUCCCCUCUGCGGCGGGAGAGCCUUUGAAUCGUUGUUAAAACAAAAACAAAACAAAAAAAUUAUAUCUAUAUGUUCUUUAAAAGGCGCGUGGGGGGAGGAAUUUCUGUUACCUUUGCUAUUUUGGAAGGCAAAAGAAGAACAUUAUUUUACUACAGAUGGGAGGAAAAGCCACCACUAAAUUAUUUCCUAAUAUCGUUGUUGAGGGAGCAGGGAGAGAGCGCUCAGGCUGCGGUUGCAGGUGGGAUCCGGUACCGAACAGAGAUGGGGAAAAAAACCCGAUUCCUAGGAAAAAAACCUUAAAUGACCUCCUUAAACACCUUUUAAAUUUUUUUCCCAGUCACAAUCCAAAAGCAAAUUGGGUGCAAAAAGGUUGAAGGGCGCAAAAAACCAGAAAAAACCUAAAAUAUCCCCGGUGAGAGCUGUAGCCCUAAGGAGUCUCUCGGCCGCUGCUCCCGGCGGAGGGAUGGGGAGCUGCUGCUACAGCCGGCCCCCCAAAAAUAGCGGGUUUGAUGGCAGCAGAGGAGAAUGGCGACUGAGCGUAGCGCAUCCUUGGCUUUGCGUGGGAAUUAUUACAUGUCAGUGCACAAAUAGGUCGAGAAAACCGAGCGGGGCACGGCUUCGCCUCGGGUUUAGCAGCGUCUAAGGGCUGGGAUUUAGCGGGCGAAAGUGAAAAGCUCGGGCCGUCCCCGCUGCCCUCGGCUGCCGCAGCCGCCGUCUCGCCUCUUCACAGCCCGGGAAAACCACUGCUACGACGGACUCCUUGAGGGACUCGUCCAACGAUUCCUUUUUCUUUUUAUUAACAUUAAUUUUUAUUCAUCCUAAGACGAGUUCGUUAUGAAGGAAGACGUGAAGGAGCUCUGUUUCUGGAGGCUGCAGGGGGCAUCAGGGAAGAAGGAACGAAAAUGCAUCCAAACCUCUGUCUGCGCGCCGGGGAAGGCUGGAGGGGCGGCUGGAUGGACGGACGGACGGACGGACGGACGGACGGAUGGAGGCAGCCGCGACACUCCUGGGCUCUCCCUAACUCCCAAUUAACCCAAGCAGGAUAACGGUGCCAGACCUUAUCCAAAGGUUAGCGGCUCUCAGGGGGGCGUUUGAGCUGCAAAUCGUUUCAGCCGAAGCUAAAAGGCGAGAGCGAGCCCGCGAACGAGCGGCAGCCUCCCCUCUGCCAGCGCUGACCCCGGGGGGCUCUGGCACUAUCUUCUUUCUCUGCAGCCGCUCCCCGGGGCGGGCUGAGGCUCUCCUGUACCCCCCCGAGCAGCCCUAGGGGUGUGCAGCUCUGCUCCUGCGGGGAGCAGCUCGUCCAGACCCCACCAUCCUCCCCUGGCACGUCCAAGCCGGAGGAGCGACUCUGCCUUAUCUCUGCAGAGCAGGCUCGUGAGGGUUGUGGCUGGGUCUUCUGAUUAAUAAACGGAAGGGAAAAAGC